UGUUGAUUUUGGCUUAAUCCCAAGUCCCACAUCGGUGGGUUCAUUGUUUGGGAAGGAGGUUUGAGGGUUAUAAAUUAAACUCUCCCCCUUCACUGUUAAAUAUCCCAAUUUGUAAUAUCUUCUCUCAUAGUAAUAAAAGUGAGCUGUUUUUGCUGUGCUCGGAGAUUAGGCUAAACAGGCCGAACUCCGUUAACAAUUUUCGGGUGUGUUCUUUCCUCUUUAUCUCUUUUAUUAUUCCGCUUUAUUUAUUCAAUAUUAUUU
rnacentral:lncRNA from 1 species